GCUAACUUUCACCCAGUCGGAAGUUAAGCAACAGAUCCACAAUUUCCCCCUUUCCUAAUGGGAAAGGUUUAUAGCCGGUCGACUGGCCGAGAGCGUUCGGCCGGUCCCCUUGCUCGCGUCGCUGGGCAGCCCAGCCCACCAAUCACAGAAUUUAUCUCUAACCCCACCACUUUCAUCUUAUCCUCUCGCUCUUUCUGGAGACCACACGAGGCAUCCUCGUCCUGCUCGCCCUUCAGUCCCCAAGUUCUCAAUCUCUCCUCCUCCUUCCUGUGUUCUCUCCAAAAUCCACACCUAAUCCCCAUGAAAUUGAGCUCGUUUUUGUUGCCUUCUCUGCUCCGCGCAACAUUUUUCCUCCAUAGAUCCAUGAGAGGGCGUGCAAAGGGCAGGACGACCGUGAUGCAAGCUCGUGCACCCGCUGUGUUACCAUGGUGUGCAACGGCGGAGACCGGUGCCGGCUGGGGCAGCGAUGCAGGAAACGGCACACCUCGUUGCUGGAACCGGCCGACUGGAAAGCUGCAACCGGCAUCCGUUGAUGCUGGAACCAGUAAUCAUUUUUGCUACCACAGGCGUUUGGUUUUGUUGGAACCACCGCCAAAUUUGUGGCGAUGGCUUUCUUUUUGCUGCAACCGUCUCGGAUUUUUUGCUACUACAGGAGUUGCCAUUUUGCUACUACCAGAGCCUUGCUCGAAGCAUCAGGAGUUUUUGCUUCGCCAGCGGCGGCUAGGCUGCGAGCACCGACGGCGAGCAGAAGCAACGAGGGUCCAAAGGAGGGCAGCGGGGGCUAGCGUGCGGGAUCCCGCGAGCGGCGGCGGCGCUCGCUCCCCCCCCCUUUUCCCUUUGCGGAGGAUGACGAAAGGGGAUGCGGGACAGAUCUGACGGUCCCGCGCGUCCAGAUCGAGCGGCUCGGGUUGGACCGGCCGAAACUUUGCGCCGGUGCGCCGGCGCAGAGUACUGCCCUUUCCUAAUUUGCAUGCAUGCAUUAGCUUCAUCUUAUUUCUUUUCUCUGUGCGUGUCCACUGUCUAGUAGCAGUUAAUUAGCAGCUACUAAUCGUAUACGUGCAGAAAAAACAAAAUUGAUGAUGUCAUAAAAAAUUCUUCCUAAUGCGAAAAUUCAAAAUAUUUUGUAGCUCAAAUCGUCGCUCCGAUUGAAAAACCGUUUCACAUAAAAGAUUUGUCGCGAGAAGAUCUUCGAAACAAGAUCCCAUAUUAAUAUAUUGUCAAUGGGCUUGCGCAUUUGGGGUUUCACCCCAACCGGUUUUGGGAAGGUUCUAGAACCUACCCUGAAUCGGGUUUAUCUGGUUCUCUUUUGGUUUUUUUUUCUUUCUUGUUCAUUUUUCUUUUUUUGUUCCUUUUUUGUUUCCUUUUUGUUUUUCUUUUCCUUUCUGUUUUUCUGUUUUCGUUUUUGUUCUUGUUUUUUUAAUUUGCGAAAGUCAUCUAAAUUCGUGAAUAUUUUUUAAAGUCGCAAACAUUUUAUGAAAUGAUGAACAUUUUUAAAGUCGUGUUUUCUUUUUACAAUUCAUCAACAAUAUCUUAAAUCAUGAACAUUUUUUGAAACUCACAAACAUAUUUUUUGAAAAUGUGAACAUUUUUUUAAAAUCAUGAAUAUUUUUUCAAAUUCGCAAAAUAUUUUUCUCGAAACCUUGAAUAUUUUUUGAAUCAUGAAUAUUUCUUAAAUUCACGGUCAUUUUUUUUUUUGAAAUCAUGAAAUAUUAUUAAAUUUGUGAUUAUUUUUUUUACAAAUUUGUGAACAUUUUUGGAAAUCGCGAACAUCUUUUGAAAUCAUGAACAUCUUUUGAAAUCGCGAACAUUUUUUGAAACCAUGAUAAUUUUUUUCAAAUUUUUGAAACCAUGAACAUCUUUGGAAAUCCUGAACAUUUUUUGAAAUCGUGAACAUUUUUUUGAAAUCAUGAACAUGUUUUUACAAAUUCGUGGACUUUCUAUUUAACCGUGAAUGUUUUUUGAAUUCCUGAACAAUUUUUUUUUAUAUUAUGAAAAUUUUCUGAAUUCAUGAUCAUUUUAUUCAAAAUUUGUAGCCUUUUCUGAAAUUUAGAACCUUUUGAUAUCCUGAAUUACUGAAAAAGAAAAGAAGAAAAGGAGUAGAAGUGAAAAAAAAGGCGUUGUUCCGGCCCACACUUAGUUUGCAUAUGUAGGUGUGGUUUACUUAGUGCCUUCCCGUCUCCAUUGUAACCACCGUCGAUCGCCGGCACCGUCCCGUCGCCGGCACCACCUUGUGGUGAGCCUCUUGUUC